rnacentral:rRNA from 1 species
AUAAGCGGAGGAAAAGAAACCAACAGGGAUUGCCUUAGUAACGGCGAGUGAAGCGGCAAAAGCUCAAAUUUGAAAUCUGGCACCUUCGGUGUCCGAGUUGUAAUUUGAAGAAGGUAACUUUGGGAUUGGCUCUUGUCUAAGUUCCUUGGAACAGGACGUCACAGAGGGUGAGAAUCCCGUGCGAUGAGAUGACCAAUCCUAUGUAAAGUGCUUUCGAAGAGUCGAGUUGUUUGGGAAUGCAGCUCUAAGUGGGUGGUAAAUUCCAUCUAAAGCUAAAUAUUGGCGAGAGACCGAUAGCGAACAAGUACAGUGAUGGAAAGAUGAAAAGAACUUUGAAAAGAGAGUGAAAAAGUACGUGAAAUUGUUGAAAGGGAAGGGCUUGAGAUCAGACUUGGUAUUUUGCAUUCCUUACCUUCGUGGUGGGGUUCCUUGCAGUUUACUGGGCCAGCAUCGGUUUGGAUGGUGGGAUAAUGACAUUGGAAUGUGGCUCUGCUUCGGUAGAGUGUUAUAGCCAGUGUUGAUACCGCCUGUCUAGACCGAGGACUGCUUUGAUAGGAUGCGGCAUAAG